rnacentral:rRNA from 1 species
CCUACGGGUGGCAGCAGUGAGGAAUAUUGGUCAAUGGGCGCGAGCCUGAACCAGCCAAGUAGCGUGAAUGAUGACUGCCCUACGGGUUGUAAACUUCUUUUAUAAAGGAAUAAAGUGAUGCACGUGUGCCUUUUUGUCUUUACUUUAUGAAUAAGGAUCGGCUAACUCCGUGCCAGCCGCCGCGGUAAUACGGAGGAUCCGAGCGUUAUCCGGAUUUAUUGGGUUUAAAGGGAGCGUAGAUGGGUUGUUAAGUCAGUUGUGAAAGUUUGCGGCUCAACCGUAAAAUGGCAAUUGAUACUGGAAGCCUUGAGUACAGAUGAGGUAGGUGGAAGUCGUGGUGUAGCGGUGAAAUGCUUAGAUAUCACGAAGAACGCCGAUUGCGAAGGCAGCCUACUAAACUGCCACUGACAUUGAUGCGCGAAAGUGUGGGUAUCAAACAGGAUUAGAUACCCUUGUAGUC